rnacentral:rRNA from 1 species
UACGGAGAGGGCUAGCGUUAUUCGGAAUUAUUGGGCGUAAAGGGCGCGUAGGCUGGUUAAUAAGUUAAAAGUGAAAUCCCGAGGCUUAACCUUGGAAUUGCUUUUAAAACUAUUAAUCUAGAGAUUGAAAGAGGAUAGAGGAGUUCCUGAUGUAGAGGUAAAAUUCGUAAAUAUUAGGAGGAACACCAGUGGCGAAGGCGUCUAUCUGGUUCAAAUCUGACGCUGAAGCGCGAAGGCGUGGGGAGCAAACAGGAUUAGAUACCCUGGUAGUCCACGCUGUAAACGAUGAGUGCUAA